rnacentral:lncRNA from 1 species
UACUUCCAACACCUCAGACUCAUUCCUGGCUCAAGGCCUUUGUCCUUGCUGUUCCCUAUGCCUGGAAUGCACUUCAUCCAGAUAUUCAUAUGGCUGCUUUCUCAUUUAAUUUUGGCUUCUGUUUGUGUUACCUGCUGAAAGAAGCCCUAUCAAUCGUAGUAUUGACCUGUUUUCUUCAAACUGUCGCCCUCCAGCCUUUUCCUUCACUUUGUUUUUCUUCAGGGUACUUAUUACUCGAUUAUAUUAUACAUGUACUUAUUGUCUAUCAUCCUCAAUAGACCGUAAGCACCAUAUGGGCAGGGAUUUUGUCUUUUUCACUGGUAUAUCCCCAGCCCCUAAUACAGUCCCUGGCCCAGAGUAGGCACUAAAGUAUUCACUGAAUGAAUGUGAGGCUUAAAUAAGCCAAUGUAUAUAAACUGAGAGUGGUCCCUGACACAGAGCGGGCAACCAGGACACUACAUUGUGAGAUUUCUCCCAGCCUCUCUGGUCACCCUUCCUCAGUCUCCCUGUUAGGUUCAUCCUUGUGCUUCUUCACUCGGCCAUUACAUGUCAGCGUUCCUCAAGGCUAAGUCCUAGGCCUUCUCUUCUCCCCUCUUGGCAUUCUCCUCCCAGGUGAUUUCAGUUAGAUUUUUUGGAAAGGUCUAUACUAACCACCAAGUCUUGAGAAGCACCCCCAACCAUUAUUCUCCAUAUAGUAUCCCGUUUAUUUUCUUCUUAUCAUUAGUCACAAUCUAUAAUUACUCAUUUGUUUACUUUUGAGAAAAACAGCUCCUGACAACUGGGAACUGUCCUGACACUGACAGCUAGGCCUUGGUGUUGCUAAGAGCUGGCCUGGCGCUCACUUCCAGGCCAUGGUGCUCUCCCAUUGAACAUAAACAAUCAAACAGAACACCAACGUCAGGCAAGGUCAUUCUGUGACCAUGAUGAAGUCAGACAGAGUUCGUAAUCUUGGCUAAGCACAGACAAAAACAAGGUCGCUGUGCAAAGCAUAAAGACUAAACAGCCCUCUCUCACUAAAAUGGAAGAUGGUUGCUUUUUUUUUUUU